UACGGAGGGUGCAAGCGUUGUUCGGAUUUACUGGGCGUAAAGCGUGCGCAGGCGGUUAUGUAAGACAGGUGUGAAAUCCCCGGGCUUAACCUGGGAACUGCAUUUGUGACUGCAUAGCUAGAGUACGGUAGAGGGGGAUGGAAUUCCGCGUGUAGCAGUGAAAUGCGUAGAUAUGCGGAGGAACACCGAUGGCGAAGGCAAUCCCCUGGACCUGUACUGACGCUCAUGCACGAAAGCGUGGGGAGCAAACAGG
rnacentral:rRNA from 1 species